rnacentral:rRNA from 1 species
CAGGAUGAACGCUGGCGGCGUGCUUAACACAUGCAAGUCGAACGAAGCACCUCUAAUCGAAGAUUGAGAAAGCUUGCUUUGAUUGAUUCACCUUGAGGUGACUGAGUGGCGGACGGGUGAGUAACGCGUGGGUAACCUACCCUAUACAGGGGGAUAACAGUUGGAAACGACUGCUAAUACCGCAUAAGCGCACAGGACCGCAUGGUCUAGUGUGAAAAAACUCCGGUGGUAUAGGAUGGACCCGCGUCUGAUUAGCUAGUUGGUGAGGUAACGGCUCACCAAGGCGACGAUCAGUAGCCGACCUGAGAGGGUGACCGGCCACAUUGGGACUGAGACACGGCCCAAACUCCUACGGGAGGCAGCAGUGGGGAAUAUUGCACAAUGGGCGAAAGCCUGAUGCAGCGACGCCGCGUGAACGAAGAAGUAUUUCGGUAUGUAAAGUUCUAUCAGCAGGGAAGAAAAAUGACGGUACCUGACUAAGAAGCUCCGGCUAAAUACGUGCCAGCAGCCGC